UGCCCAGACUCCUACGGGAGGCAGCAGUGGGGAAUAUUGCGCAAUGGGCGAAAGCCUGACGCAGCGACGCCGCGUGAGUGAAGAAGUAAUUCGUUAUGUAAAGCUCUAUCAGCAGGGAAGAAAAUGACGGUACCUGACUAAGAAGCCCCGGCUAACUACGUGCCAGCAGCCGCGGUAAUACGUAGGGGGCAAGCGUUAUCCGGAUUUACUGGGUGUAAAGGGAGCGUAGACGGCUGUGCAAGCCAGAUGUGAAAGCCCGGGGCUCAACCCCGGGACUGCAUUUGGAACUGCGUGGCUUGAGUGUCGGAGAGGCAGGCGGAAUUCCUAGUGUAGCGGUGAAAUGCGUAGAUAUUAGGGGGAACACCAGUGGCGAAGGCGGCCUGCUGGACGAUGACUGACGUUGAGGCUCGAAAGCGUGGGGAGCAAACAGGAUUAGAUACCCCCGUACA
rnacentral:rRNA from 1 species